rnacentral:snRNA from 1 species
GUGCUCAAUUUGGCAGCACAUAUACUAAAAUUGGAAUGAUACAGAGGAGAUUAGCAUGGCUCCUGUGCAAGGAUGACACGCAAAUUUGUGAAGUGUUCCAUGUUUUU